rnacentral:miRNA from 1 species
CAAAUGGGCAAAAAGUUCAUUCAGAUUUUGCCAUAGGAGUGUAUGGAAAAACCUGAACGAACAUUUUGGCCAACCCA